CAGUAGCCGCGGUAAUACGGAGGGGGCUAGCGUUGUUCGGAAUUACUGGGCGUAAAGCGCACGUAGGCGGCUUUUUAAGUCAGAGGUGAACGCCCGGAGCUCAACUCCGGAACUGCCUUUGAGACUGGAAGGCUUGAACGUCGGAGAGGUGAGUGGAAUUCCGAGUGUAGAGGUGAAAUUCGUAGAUAUUCGGAAGAACACCAGUGGCGAAGGCGGCUCACUGGACGACUGUUGACGCUGAGGUGCGAAAGCGUGGGGAGCAAACAGGAUUAGAUACCCCGGUAGUCCCUGUCUCUUAUAC
rnacentral:rRNA from 1 species